GACUCCAUUUCAAAAACGAAACAAAACAGAACAACAACAACAACAACAACAAAAAACCCAAAAAGAACCCAGUCAUCACAGAAUCUGUACAUGGCCUGUGGGUGGUAGAUGCUGGCCCUACACAUGAACGGUUCCAUGGUCCUCAUCCAUGACAGAGUAGGACCUAUGACCCAGAUCCUUUGGCAGUGAGUUCAGUGCUCUUUCUUCUUAUGCCAUGCUCGGCCAUGAGGAGAAAUCCUGAAGUUCUGCACAUUCUUUGAAAAAACACAGUGAUGGAAGUGAGACAGAUUGUGGGCACAGGGCCAUAGCCCUGUUGAAUCUGCACUUGUUCCACAAGGUUUGAGUUGUUCCCUCAGACUUUCAGAAAAUCAUUGUUGUGCUAAUGUUUCUUCUUGCUUUCUUUUAAGGAAAAGUGUUUGAGAAGAGUACAACACAGCCACCACCAUUUUUUCCUAGGUCAACAAGCACGCCUGUGUUCUGAUAAUUAAGAGUCCUAAUGAUACACAUCUAAUGGUAAAAAGUUCAGGGUUACUGACUUUAGUCAUGGCUGGAUCCAGGUGUUUAACAUGAUUUUAUCAGGAAGUUGCUUCUCUCUCUGCCUCUGCCUUCCUUGGCAUUGAAUUCAUUUUUAGGAUGUGUGGGGGUUUACUGUUGAGGUGGUCACUGGCAGCUCUAGGUUUAUGUUCUCACAAAUGAAUGACUCUUUCUUGAUCACACCAGCAGUACUUCUAGGAUUAUCUCUUAUUGGACCAAUUUAUGUCCCAUUUCUACUGCUGAGCCAUUUCAUCAGUUCAUUGUUAAACCAUUCAGACAAAAUACAUUGACUGCUUUCCAUGUUCCAGCAGCCACACACUUUUUAUGAGGAGCCUUCAAAUAUUAAAAUAAAGGAAUACUAGCAGUAUUUUUUAGGAAUAAUGUGUUUUUCAAGUUCAAUGCUAUAUUACAUUAAGCACUGUGAAGCCAGGCUGUGGGAACAAUAAAGCUUUUUUUGAUGAACCUCAAAAUUGCAAAUUGAGGUGGUGAAUGACAGUCAUCUCCUUUUCUCUGAGGAGCCCAAAUGUCAGAAUGCACCCAUGUCUGAGGUCAUCCUUCCUUUGAAAUACCUGCCACGAUGACUGCAGCUCCUGCAGGUUUCCCUCCCCAGGUCCCGUGGGAAGAUGUCCGUUAUCUCUUUGAUGAGAUCAUGUAUGGAGGCCACAUCACAGAUGACGGGGAUUGCAAACUGUGUCGGGUGUAUUUAGAAGAAUUCAUGAAUCCAUCUCUGAAGCUAGCUGCCCUGUCAGGAACACAUGCAUGUGGUGAAAAACCGAGACUUCCAGCCAACAGCCAUGUGAGCGAGCCAUCUUGGAAGUGGAUCCUCCAGCCCCAGUCAAGCCUUCAGAUGACUGCAGCUUUGGCCAACAUCUUGACUGCAACUUCCUGAGAGACCCUGAGCAAGAAUCACACCAUGAAGAUGUUCCUAGUUUUCUGAUUCUCAGAAACUGGCUGCCAUGUGAAGAAGGACAUGUUUGCUUCCACUUCUGCCACGAUUCAGUGUGAGAAUGGACUAAUACAGGGUCUGUGUUGGACAGGAAGGACAUGAAGAGAGGAAGGGCUGGUGGAGAGAAUGCAGAGUAGUCAUAAGACACGAGCCUCCUCUGAUGGUCGACUUUGCCUUGAGAACUCAGAUGACCUUGCCAGAAUCUUCUUAGAUAGCUUGGAACUCUAGAACAUUUCUACUCACCCUUCUUCCUUCUCCCAUUCACUCAAGGCCAGACCUGCAAUGUGAUCUGACAACUCCCAGCCUUACAAGGUUCUCUUCCAAUUUUCUCUCACAGGGAUUUUCCCUAAUAAAAUCAUCACACAUUUAAUC
rnacentral:lncRNA from 1 species